rnacentral:rRNA from 1 species
UACGUAGGGUCCGAGCGUUGUCCGGAAUUAUUGGGCGUAAAGAGCUCGUAGGCGGUUUGUCGCGUCUGCUGUGAAAUCCCGAGGCUCAACCUCGGGUCUGCAGUGGGUACGGGCAGACUGGAGUGCGGUAGGGGAGAAUGGAAUUCCUGGUGUAGCGGUGGAAUGCGCAGAUAUCGGGAGGAACACCGAUGGCGAAGGCAGUUCUCUGGGCCGUAACUGACGCUGAGGAGCGAAAGCGUGGGGAGCGAACAGG